GCGCACGGUGGCUUAGUGGUUAGUGCGUUCGCCUCCCACCUCCAGGGGUUCGAUUCCCACCGUGGCC